UACAGAGGGGGCAAGCGUUGUUCGGAAUUACUGGGCGUAAAGGGCGCGUAGGCGGCCUGCUAAGUCGAACGUGAAAUCCCCGAGCUCAACUCGGGAACUGCGUCCGAUACUGGCAGGCUUGAAUCCGGGAGAGGGAUGCGGAAUUCCAGGUGUAGCGGUGAAAUGCGUAGAUAUCUGGAGGAACACCGGUGGCGAAGGCGGCGUUCUGGACUGUAACUGACACUGAGGAACGAAAGCCAGGGGAGCAAACGGG
rnacentral:rRNA from 1 species